CUACGUGCCAGCAGCCGCGGUAAUACGGAAGGUUCGGGCGUUAUCCGGAUUUAUUGGGUUUAAAGGGAGCGUAGGCCGUAGAUUAAGCGUGUUGUGAAAUGUAGAUGCUCAACAUCUGACUUGCAGCGCGAACUGGUUUACUUGAGUGUGCACAACGUAGGCGGAAUUCGUCGUGUAGCGGUGAAAUGCUUAGAUAUGACGAAGAACUCCGAUUGCGAAGGCAGCUUACGGGAGCACAACUGACGCUGAAGCUCGAAGGCGCGGGUAUCAAACAGGAUUAGAUACCCUGGUAGUCCGCACAGUAAACGCUGGAUGCCCGCUGUUGGCUCAUUAGAGUCAGCGGCCAAGCGAAAGCAUUAAGCAUCCCACCUGGGGAGUACGCCGGCAACGGUGAAACUCAAAGGAAUUGACGGGGGCCCGCACAAGCGGAGGAACAUGUGGUUUAAUUCGAUGAUACGCGAGGAACCUUACCCGGGCUUGAAUUGCAGACGAACGAUUCAGAGAUA
rnacentral:rRNA from 1 species